CACGCAGUAAACGAUGAAUACUAACUGUAUGCGAUAUACUGUAUGCGGUACAGCGAAAGCGUUAAGUAUUCCACCUGGGGAGUACGUUCGCAAGAAUGAAACUCAAAGGAAUUGACGGGGGCCCGCACAAGCGGAGGAACAUGUGGUUUAAUUCGAUGAUACGCGAGGAACCUUACCCGGGCUUGAAAUGCAGACGACCGAUUGGGAAACCAGUCUUCCAGCAAUGGCGUCUGUGUAGGUGC
rnacentral:rRNA from 1 species